AUUGAACGCUGGCGGCAGGCUUAACACAUGCAAGUCGAGCGGAGAUGAGGUGCUUGCACCUUAUCUUAGCGGCGGACGGGUGAGUAAUGCUUAGGAAUCUGCCUAUUAGUGGGGGACAACAUUCCGAAAGGAAUGCUAAUACAGCAUACGUCCUACGGGAUAAAGCAGGGGAUCUUCGGACCUCGCGCUAAUAGAUGAGCCUAAGGCGGAUUAGCUAGUUGGUGGGGUAAAGGCCUACCAAGGCGACGAUCUGUAGCGGGUCUGAGAGGAUGAUCCGCCACACUGGGACUGAGACACGGGCCAGACUCCUACGGGAGGCAGCAGUGGGGAAUAUUGGACAAUGGGGGGAACCCUGAUCCAGCCAUGCCGCGUGUGUGAAGAAGGCCUUAUGGUUGUAAAGCACUUUAAGCGAGGAGGAGGCUACUGAGACUAAUACUCUUGGAUAGUGGACGUUACUCGCAGAAUAAGCACCGACUAACUCUGUGCCAGCCGCCGCGGUAA
rnacentral:rRNA from 1 species